rnacentral:rRNA from 1 species
CCUACGGGAGGCAGCAGUGGGGGAUAUUGCACAAUGGGGGGAACCCUGAUGCAGCGACGCCGCGUGGGUGAAGGAGUGCUUCGGCAUGUAAAGCCCUAUCGGCAGGGAAGAAGCAAGACGGUACCUGACUAAGAAGCCCCGGCUACUACGUGCCAGCAGCCGCGGUAAUACGUAGGGGGCGAGCGUGAUCCGGAUUCACUGGGUGUAAAGGGAGUGUAGACGGUCAUGCAAGCCAGGGGUGAAAGCCCGGGGCCUAACCCCGGGACUGCCCUUGCAACUACAUGGCUGGAGUGCGGGAGGGGCAGGCGGAAUUCCUGGUGUAGCGGUGAAAUGCAUAGAUAUCACGCAGAACCCCGAUUGCGAAGGCAGCAUACCGGUGCACAACUGACGCUGAGGCACGAAAGCGUGGGUAGCGAACAGGAUUAGAUACCCUUGUAGUC